UGUCGGCUCAUCUCAUCCUGGGGCUGGAGCAGGUCCCAAGGGUACGGCUGUUCGCCGUUUAAAGAGGUACGUGAGCUGGGUUUAGAACGUCGUGAGACAGUUCGGUCCCUAUCUUCCGUGGGUGUAGGAUACUUGAGAGGAGUUGCCCCUAGUACGAGAGGACCGGGGUGAACGAUCCACUGGUGGACCUGUUGUGGCGCCAGCCGCAGUGCAGGGUAGCUAUGAUCGGAAAGGAUAACCGCUGAAGGCAUCUAAGCGGGAAGCCCCCCUCAA
rnacentral:rRNA from 1 species